rnacentral:rRNA from 1 species
GAUGAACGCUGGCGGCGUGCCUAAUACAUGCAAGUCGAGCGAACAGAUGAGGAGCUUGCUCCUCUGACGUUAGCGGCGGACGGGUGAGUAACACGUGGAUAACCUACCUAUAAGACUGGGAUAACUUCGGGAAACCGGAGCUAAUACCGGAUAAUAUAUUGAACCGCAUGGUUCAAUAGUGAAAGACGGUUUUGCUGUCACUUAUAGAUGGAUCCGCGCCGCAUUAGCUAGUUGGUAAGGUAACGGCUUACCAAGGCAACGAUGCGUAGCCGACCUGAGAGGGUGAUCGGCCAAAAUGGAACUGAGACACGGUCCAGACUCCUACGGGAGGCAGCAGUAGGGAAUCUUCCGCAAUGGGAGAAAGCCUGACGGAGCAACGCCGCGUGAGUGAUGAAGGUCUUCGGAUCGUAAAACUCUGUUAUUAGGGAAGAACAAAUGUGUAAGUAACUAUGCACGUCUUGACGGUACCUAAUCAGAAAGCCACGGCUAACUACGUG